rnacentral:lncRNA from 1 species
UUAAAUAAUAAUAAAAAUUAUUAAACGAAUGUUUAAGGCAUUAAUGACCUUUUUUUAGAAUUUUAAAAAUAGGUUUUUUUUUCCUUCCGUCAACUACAGUAGCUCCUCCUUCCCCAAAAUUCUAAAUCAGAGAGAGUUCACCCUUUACUUUUGUCGAGAGAAAACUACAGUAGAGUAGCUUCUUCCCCAAAAUUCUCUGCUCUGAUUUGAACCAUAGAGUUAACGCAGAGGUUGGGGUUUCGAAAACUGAUAGAUGGAUGGGUGGGUUUACGGUUUCUAAAAUUGAGAGACGGAGUGGUGUGAUUGCUAUGAAAGUAUGCUAAAAGUACAAGAUGAGAUUUCGAUUUUGAGUUGUAAUUCCCAAAAGCUUGAUGCCCUAACUUCCUAAUUGGUGUUGUAGAUGCAUGCUUCGAUUUGAGAAACGACGUUGAGCUAGUGAGAUCCUAUUCUGAAAGCAGCUUUUGAGACCAUGAGGUCCUCUGGUAAGAAAUCUUGGAUCUCUGGCUGUUUGGUUUUCAUCUUGAUGCUGCCUUUGUUUACUCUUUUUGGUGACUUUUGCUUAUGCUCUCUUGCUGUUUUAUUCUUGCUCUGAUUGUUUCAUUUUUUUUAAUCUAAUGCUUUGUGUGGUAUGGGCAGCCAUCUUUUGUCCGUUUAAUAUCAUCUCUUGAGCGUGUGAAGUUAAGAAGUUGAGCUACUACAUGGGUGAAGAAAGAAUUAAAAGAGUUUGUCAAGUCUUGUUUAAGCUGUAUUCACCUAUCAAGUUGGGUUCUUUCAAAGGAAUUUUGAUAUUGAAUUAUGGAACGUAUGCUUGAUGUGUUGAAUUGCUAUGAAAUUCUGUCUCUUUUUUGGGAUAUGAAAUUGUCAAACGAUCAAUUAGUAGUGGACGUGAAAUAGUUAUUUGAUCAGGAAAUAUCAUCUUAAGAGUUAUGUUCAUACUAUUUUGGGAAGAUGAACAAUACUAUUUUGUUCUUUCGGUUUCUUCUCCUAUUUUGUUCUUAUUAUAUGUUUCUUUUCAACAUGCCUUUCAUCCAGUCCUGUUUUUAGCUCAACUAUGGGAAGUUGAAGGCUUGUUCAUCAGAUUGUUUUUAUGCUUAACUGAAGUCUUAAUUAUCUUUGAUUUGAGAUAUAGCUCUGAUUUAAGUUUCGAGUUUCAUGCAUUUUUAUUAUUAUUGUACAAUUCUUUAAUCAAAAUGUCAUUUGCUCUACAUCUGCAUAUGGGUGGUUCAGUCAUUAUUUCUAUAUCAGUUCUGUGUUUCAUGAAUAUAACGAUUGUAUACAAAUUUUUGUUUAUUUUUCAUUUUCUUAUGAAAGAAUCAGUAAUAUCAUUCUAUUAUUCAUUGAUGGUAUGCAGAUUCUAUAUUUUUGUUUUCACCAUUGGCCAUCCAUACACGGAAUAUCCGUUAGUGCACACUUUUAGUGCAGAUUAGUGAUUUGAUCUGCAUGUUUAGCUGAAAUAUGUGUAUGGUAGACAAUAGAGAAGGGUUUGAGCAGAAGGUUCAUUGUAUUUGGUUGUGUUUGUUGGAAUGGGCUCGUAAGCAUUAAUACAUAGCAAAGCAUCAAGAGGGCCCUUCUCAACAAUGGAUAAACUUUUACUAAUUCAGGAUGCAGAACAUAAGGUUGAUUGUUAGCUUUGGCUUGAGUAAUUAGUGCAAGUUGUGCUAAUUUUAUGAUUAGAAAAGCACUCGUGUUUCAGGUUCUUUUCUUUGCGUUGUGUUGUAUAUGUAAUUGCAUUUUGACCGCUAGACUCUUGUGGUUGACCUUUACCUAACACAUUUUAAUAUUUUUUAACCGGCAAAAGCCAAUUUAGGAUUGUGAACCUUUUAUGAGACAACGCACUCAUAAGAAUUAAAAGUCAUUAUGAUUUCAUUCAAGUUUAGGGAAAUUUAGGAUUGUGAACCUUUUACUUAACAUAUGUUAUUUUUCAUGCACAAUGCUUAAUCUUCUCAUAUCUUCCAUUGCUGCCAUCUUACAGCAUAUCGUUCAAAAGCAUGAACCUCACUUUUGAAAGAUGUGAUCCUGCUCUGCUUAGGUGCAUUGUGAUUCCUCCGGGUAAUGAACUUUCUGAGUCUUCCUCAGUAGCUCACUCCUACUUUAAAAGGGGACAUCAACACUAAAGGUAUAUAUGCAAUUACUAAUCCGAACGGUUCAUUAAUUUACACGAUUUUUCUUCAUGUUUUGAAUUAAUUGCAUGAAAGAUUCAGUUUAGCUGUUACUUGGUAGGCUUUCUUUCUGAAUUCUACUCAAUAAAUAUGGUCAUGUGGAGAUUAUCCAGUUUAAGUCUUUUAUUCCUUUUAACAAUCCUAGUAUAAACCCUUGUGGGACAUUGUAGAACUGUGUUUAGACGCUCUCUUAUUUGUGUGUUCUGAUGGUCUAAAUUACUUCCAUUUUUUCAUGCAGAUUCAGGAAGCAGUCAAAGAAGGUGUGGUCAAACACGAGAUAUUGAGCAAGAGAUGUGCUGGUUGAAAUACAUUUAUCAAUUUAUUUUUAGAUUUUGUAUUUGAGAGAUGUAUGUCUUGUGAAUUUGUUGGGAAUUUUGAUACCUAUAUAGUUUUUGGAAUGAUAUAUGAUACACAUUGUAUUGGGUAUCAUGAUUUUAUCUUAAGUAGACUAUUUAUGAAGAAAAAAAGAAUAGAUGUGGG